UACGGGGGGGGCAAGCGUUGUUCGGAAUUACUGGGCGUAAAGGGCCCGUAGGUGGCCAACUAAGUCAGACGUGAAAUCCCUCGGCUUAACCGGGGAACUGCGUCUGAUACUGGAUGGCUGGAGUAUGGGAGAGGGAUGCGGAAUUCCAGGUGUAGCGGUGAAAUGCGUAGAUAUCUGGAGGAACACCGGUGGCGAAGGCGGCAUCCUGGACCAUUACUGACGCUGAGGAGCGAAAGCCAGGGGAGCAAACGGG
rnacentral:rRNA from 1 species